CAUUACAAAUAUACAAAAACACUAACCAUACACGCUCGUCUUCUUCACGCAAGAUCCAGCAAACCGAGUUCCAGCGAACCCGACACAUACCUAUGUCGUCCUCUACUCCCUCCUUAUCCUUUUAGUAUCCCAAUAGUACAAACGAAGACAGGUGUUUGCAUCUCAUGUGCUCUUCGUCCUUCUCUUGGAAUCAAACGAUCCUCCACUCAGUUUCGUUUGAAUUAGUACGAUUCCAACUCACUAGAACCUUCCACAUCGAAAUAUUCUCAGAUUUUUAGGAUUUUUGGAGUUUCUAUAUAAGCCCUCUUCAUUCACUUUGGAGGCGUUUUUGAGUUCUGAGAGUACCCCUUAAAAGUUUUGGGAAUUAUCGUCUCAAUAGUUAAAAUUUUUCGGUUGUUCGAGUUGUGGAAUUACCUCCGUCAAACUCGUUGUCCAUUUCGCUGCACGGAAAUAGGUUCAGGUUCUGAGCAUCAACAUCACACUUAGAUCGGUUCCAGAUCUCCAAUUCAGCAGAAUCAGUAGUUAUGGCAAGUGAUUUUAUAUAGCUAGUUGAUGUGGUUGGAUUGCUUUCCUCCAAGACUUGUUAUGUCCUUAUGAUUCAAAGAUAAGACUCUAUGUUACCCUAUUUCUAGUAAAAGACAUUUUAGUAGUUGUUCAUUUGUAAAGGGUUGUGUCCCAAGUACAUUUAAAUUAGGCUUUAGGAUGGCCAUGUGAGAUUAAGACUUCCUCUAUACUUAAAGUUUUAUAUUGAAUGAAAUUUUAAAUAUUUUAGACUUAAAAUGAGUUUUUAAUACCACACUAUUUCAAUAUCGAAUGCAAUGCAUGAUAUGCGACUUGUAUGAGACCCCUUCGUGGUCAAUAUGUCAUGAUGCGACUUGGCAGUGCUCUCAGGUCGUGACAAUGAGGACUCACCAAAACCGUGGAGAGAAUAAAUCAAAGCUUUACACAAUGGGAAUAGUACACCUCAACAACCAGGACGUACAUUUGUAGAAAAAUGUAGAAAAUAGGGGUUACUCCAAAAAUGCACUAAGUAUGAUAGUCAUGCACAAAAUCCUUGACAAUAUACAAAAAAGGAUAUUUAGUUGAAAUCAUGAAUUUUAUCAAGAUUAAGUGUCAUCAUGCACAUUUUUGAAGAACAUAAGUCAACCAUUUCACAAGAAACCCCAAGCCAUACUUGUGCAGUGCAUAGAUAAGAUCCUAAAAUCUUAUUGAUUACUAAGUAUAACUUUUUGGUCACCAAAA